rnacentral:rRNA from 1 species
UGGGGAAUUUUGGACAAUGGGCGCAAGCCUGAUCCAGCAAUGCCGCGUGCAGGAUGAAGGCCUUCGGGUUGUAAACUGCUUUUGUACGGAGCGAAAAGGUCUGCCCUAAUACGGUGGGCUCAUGACGGUACCGUAAGAAUAAGCACCGGCUAACUACGUGCCAGCAGCCGCGGUAAUACGUAGGGUGCGAGCGUUAAUCGGAAUUACUGGGCGUAAAGCGUGCGCAGGCGGUUAUAUAAGACAGAUGCGAAAUCCCCGGGCUCAACCUGGGACCUGCAUUUGUGACUGUAUAGCUAGAGUACGGUAGAGGGGGAUGGAAUUCCACGUGUAGCAGUGAAAUGCGUAGAUAUGCGGAGGAACACCGAUGGCGAAGGCAAUCCCCUGGACCUGUACUGACGCUCAUGCACGAAAGCGUGGGGAGCAAACA